AUGUUGAGAUGCCUGAAAAAUAUCCAGUUUCCCCUGGAACAAUUGGAGGCCGUGGAGGCAUUUGAAAUGUUUCUAAAGGAACCGUCAAAUGGCCCAGCUCGACAGAGAGUGAUUUCUUCUUUGGCCACCAUUGGAGGCCAGGAUGUGAAGAGGGUGACCUGGAACAUCCUGGGCAGGCUCUUCACAGAUGAGGUGUCUCAUCAGAUCAACUGGAAGGGUGUUAAUAACAAAAAGCCCUUCAGUAGGAUGGCAACGAAGACCUUGCUUUUCAGUAAGUAUAUAAUUCAAAGUAAUAUUAAAUACGUUCAAAGUCAAUAGUUUGUGAAUGUUAGGGCAGCCUUAAAAAUCGCUGCAACCAUCUUACCAAUAUGACCGUGUAGCCUUUUUUUAUUUAAUUGAUUAACUAAUCCUUUACUAAACAUGACUUUGUGUUUCAUAAAUGAUGUAAAAAAAAAAAAUUGUAUGUCAUAAAAGAUGUGUAAAUGCAUGAGUAAAUAAUUUACAACACUUUCUGCAUCCCCUAAUUUAAAGUGUAAACUAUUCAUCACUUGUAAAUGUGUUAGGGUUAGGGGUUUUACAUAAUUUAAAAUUAUGUAAAAACGCUGGUCUUGGUGAGUAUCCUAAGUCGGUUAGCCCUAUAUCUCAAGUGAACGUAGCCAUGUUCAAAUUGGGUUGUUCGGUCUUUAAGGGGCAGCAGUUUAAUAAACCUGCUGCUGUGUCUUAAACAGACAAAGGGCAAAUGAAUUACUCACUGCUCUUGACUAAAUAGGCUACCCUUUUCAACUUUACAAAAAUAUCCAUCUAUAUAUAAUUUAUACAGUAAUGAAUAUGAAUUUUUUCCCACAUUUGAUUAUUCAAAUUUCUGUACCUGUUAGAUCUACCCGAAAAACUCUAAAAACACUCUUUAUUUGUAGCCUUUUUGUUCUAUUGUAUUUAUUUGUCCUAUUUGUAAUUUGAUUAUUUGUUCUUAUUUUGUUACUGACUGCUUACUUGUCUUUACUAAUGUUUUAAAUUCACAUUUAUUGUUGUAGUAUCAAAAUUUGAUUAAACAAUUGAUAUUUCACUCUUGUCUAAACAUUAGUACAACUGACCCUAUCCUCAGCCCUAACCCUUUUGGAGCAGCUCUACAUAUGUGAUGUACUAUUAAUUGAAAGAUAAAAUAUGCUAGAGCAAUAGAAUGAACAGUAAAAGUAACAGAGGCUCGUAUCGUUUAGAACCAAAAAUGAAAGUAUCGGACUUGUUCUGCAAAAUGUGGUAUCGGUGCAUCCCUAAUUAAAAGUAUUUAAAAAAUAUAUCAUUUCAAUAUCAAAAUAAUUUUACACAAAAUUAACGCUGCAUCCCAUCUGAGAUAAAGAGCUUUUUCACAUGGCUAUGAGCAUGGUAUUAAGUAUAUAAGUAUAUAACACAAUUUUCAUUCUUCAGGUCAAUCAUCUAUAAAUCUGUUUCAAUAUCUUAUCAAUGGUUAAGGGGAUUUCCCAUGCCUAACAGUGCUGGUCAAUGGAUUAAUCUCUAUGAAGUGAAACAUCAAUCCUGAUAUACUGAAAAAAACAUCAGAUAUAGUGCUUUAAAGGUCCUUGAAAGUCCUGGAAUUUCAUUUUACAGAAUCUGUACUAACCCUGAUAGUUAAUCAUUUACAAGCCAUUUGCAAAUGACUUGUAACGGAAUUUACAAAACAUACUUAAAAUGAUAGUAUAUCACUUGCUAAUCAUUUAUGAAUGUUUUGUAAAUGAUUAGUUCAUCAUUAUUUAACCACUGACUUAUAAAUGACUUACAACUGAACGUUAUUAUAUACUCAAAAUCAAACAUAGUAUGACCAUAUGAUGGCUACUUUGCAUACGCAAAUUUUCAGUCAGGUAGGCCUAUGCCUGAUGUUAUGUUUAACACAAUGCAAUAGUGCGUCAGUGAAAAUGGACGGACAUGGUCACUUAUUUAGAAGGGGAAAUUGGGCUACUAAAAAUAUUCCUGUUAACUAUCAGGCAGUGCAAUAAUGAUAAUAAUAAAAAGCCUACCUUUCUGACAUGCAGUAGAUCUUCAAAAUUGCUGUGAGACUCCCUCCGUCUGAUUCCUUCAGUUUGCCGUCACUGUAAACGGUGUUGACCAUAGGUGCACUUCUAGAAAGUGGAGAUGCCAACUUCCGGCACAGUCUUGGGGUGAAACAGUGGCGUACCUGCACUUGUGCGUAAAAAUGCAACUACGGUCGAAGUUUAGGGAUUGGAAUCACAGUGGAUUGUCAUGUCAAGAGAAAUGCACCCCAGGUGUGGGCAACAGGCCCAUCAUGUUAUCAAAGUAAAUGCAUGCAAACGUAUUGGCUGCAUGGUGGUUCUGAUAGCUUUACUCGUGUACAUUUAUCUUGGAUCUCCAUAAUAAUAAUAAUAAUAAUACACACUGAUGGAAUGCAGUUUUGUUUGAGUUGUGUGGGUUGUAAAUUGACAUGUGAGUUGUAUUUAAAUUUAGUGUUGAUUUUGGAAUGGUUAACCUAACACUAAGGUCUCUGCUGCAACAUAUAGCUUGAAUGUUAAGUCGCUUUGAAUAAAAAGCAUCAGCUAAAUGACUAAAUGCAAUGUAAUGUAAACCAGGACUAAAUGCAAGUAAAUGGAGUUUACCCACCGCUCAAAUGUCAGAAAUAGAGUUUAUCCACCUGUUUAUGUAAUGUAAUGUUAAGAGUUUACCUCCAAAUAGAAUGUUAUAGGACCCUAACAAACUUAAAACAUUACAAAACCACAUUGAUUUAUCCACAUACAAUAUGUGCUCUGAUCAAGGGACCAUUUAAUACCACUAUUGUUUGAACAUUUUGGAUGUCUUUUUUUAAUGACCGAUAGCGAAAGGCUCGGCACACCUUACCUGGAUCAUGAAUUCAUAGUUUACCCCCCUCUUAUUUUAACCUCCACAACCCUGUUUAUAACUUUGCAAGUCACGUUUAUUUUUUAAUUUAAUCUCCUUCAUACCUAUCUCAAAUAUUUUAUUGUGUAAGCAUACUUGGCUUUGGACGCUACAUCCCAAAAACAAACAUAUCUGUCUGUUUGAUUACAGGUGCUGUGAGGAAAAACACGGUGACACGGUCCGCCACGGAUGCGGAGGUCACCAAGCACGCAAUCAGGUGGUUCAACCUGGCAGCAGAUCGGGCAACGAGGAGACGUGUCCCGCCUCCAUCCACACAAACUGAGUAAUAGGAAGAUUGAUUAAACAAUAAAUCAUCUUUUUAUUGAACCUCUUUGUCGUUCAUCAGUUAUUUAUUUUCUGAUGCUGUGCAUAGUGCAACAUUUCAUUGAAGUUGUGGUCUAAUAGAUCAAAUAUUUUAUGUUUGCACCGACCUAGGUCUAUAAAGCAUUAAAUUAGGUUUUGACCAUAAAAUGAAUGUAGAUUAGCCUAGCCAACAUAGGCUACUUAGCAAAAACUGAAUAGGCUAUAACCUAUAACUUUCCAUAAAUGCAAAUGUCAAUUUUAUAUUUCCAUUGAGUAGUGAUUACUUUUGUACAGUAAAUUUAUGUCUUGUCUUGGAGCUUUUCUGUUAGGCUUAAAUAUUGUUAGGUUAAAAAUACAAGGCAAUGCAGAUUUAAGCUUAGGUUUAUAUUGCUGUAGUAGCCUAGGCAGGCAUAGUGAUAGUUUUAUCUUAGUUUACUUUAUCCUAUUUUAUCCUACAGCAAGAACAGAAGGGAUUUUGAAAAUGAGAUAAACUGGU
ensembl:lncRNA